UAACCCUCGUCCUAUCUCUUUUCUGUCAAUAUUCCGUUCCGUUAUUUCUUUCUCCAUGGGAAGGCAGCCUUAUUCUCACAUUAGGCUCGGACGAACGCCAUUUUGAACUGCGAGCGGUUUAUUAUCGCGGAUCAGUGCGGACGAGACGAGACGAGACAAAACGAGACGAGACGGACGAGAUGCUUCUCGCAAGUUAGUAUCGAUGAUGAAAAUUGGUGUGAUUUAUUUUUUAUAGUUGCACAGACAGAAUUGAACGAAUGCUAACGAAAUUAUUGAUUGAACGUUGUGAACAAAAAUGAGAAUGACGACAGGAGAGAGAGAGAGGGAAAAAGAGAGGGGGAGAGAGAGAGAGAGAGAGAACGAGACACGAGUAUAGGAAAAGAAAGAGGUGUACUUAAGCUUCACGACCGUCGUCUACCUAAUCAUCCAGAUUCAUCAUUCGCGUUCGCAUCGCUACAUAUGUUUUUCUUCGUAUGUUGCGUGGGUGGACUAGCUACUGGAGGUGAACCAACAUUCACCGUACAAUGAUGCUGCGACAAUGUGGCGCCGGGUGGGAGAAAUGUAUUGAAACCAACGAUGAGUUCAGGAUGUCCUUUGAAGAGGUGACUCACU